AUGGGUGGCAAGGGCGGCGGUGGAGGUGGAGGCAACGGGGGAGGAGGUGGCGGCGGCAAGGGCGGUGGCGGUGGCGGUGGAGGUGGAGGCGGCAGGAGCGGUGGAGGGGGAGGAGGAACGAAGGGAGGCGGAGGCGGAUCAAAGGGGUCAGGCGGCAGUGGAGGCGCAGGGAAGUCGUCCGGCACGAGCGGUGGCAGCGGUGGUAUGAUGAAGGCGCCCGGCGGUGACGGCGCCUACAUCUCCCGUCCCGGGUUCGAGUCCAACCCGCAGGGCUACUUCCAGGGCCUCCACGGCGCCGGAGGAAAGUAG
rnacentral:rRNA from 1 species